rnacentral:lncRNA from 1 species
AACCCUAAGUUCAUUCAUAAACCCUAAGUUCAUCCAUAAAUCCUAAGUUCAUCCAGAAACCCUAAGUUCAUCCAUAAACCCUAAGUUCAUCCAUAAACCCUAAGUUCAUCCAUAAACCCUAAGUUCAUCCAUAAACCCUAAGUUCAUCCAUAAACCCUAAGUUCAUCCAUAAACCCUAAGUUCAUUCAUCCUAAAUUUCUCUUCAUCAAUCAUCCAUCCCUUAAAUCUCAUUCAUCCUAUAACAUUCAUUCAUUCAAAGUUUGUUCAUCCAAUUUUCAUCUAAAGAUUCAUUCAUCCAACCAUAAGUCAACUUAUCAUCCAACUGAAAAUUCGUGCAAUUGACCUAAUUCAUCCAAGUUUCAUCCUAAAAAUUAAAGAAAAUUGGAAGUCGCCACCUUCCAAGUCAUGGUAGCGACCCCCUUGCACGAAUUCCACUACAAUGGUUGCAUCACUAACUUGUUUAUAACAAGCUUUGCUAUUUUAGAAAGUAGACUUACAAGCGCUUGUCCUCCAACAAAAUUCAAUGCAAAACAACAAUUAAGCUAAGAGAAAUCUUGCCUCAAAGUUGCCUGACUUUCUCGGCCUAGUCAGAGCACCCCUGGCCACAAAAACCCUUGCCCUUGCUCCAUUCCAGUUGUGCAAUGCAUAUGCUUUAGCAUUCCAGAAACUAGAAUUUAAGCCGCAUCACCUCCAACAAUUUUUUCUUGAAAAUCUUGAGUGAAUUCCAAGAUAUGACCUUCCAAAGUAGCUUGAGUUGGCGGAGUGCUACAUCUUCACCACGCCCGACUCCUCUUCACUCCAACCACCAUAACUUCCUUGGCCUUUACUCAAUCUAAGCGUGAAAAUAGUCCUUGCAAAGCUGACAACAAGAACCAUUCCCCACAAAAGUUUCAGCUCCAAAUUCAAUACUGUCCGCCAACACUCGCCUUCCAAAGUCGGACCUCCAGAUCUGGCCGGCAGCUGACCUCCUUGUCACUAAAACCACUACAACUUUCUUGUUUUCUCUCCAAACAAAGCGUGCCUACUGUCCCGAGGAAGCUAACGACAAGAUCUAACUAUUGGUAAAGUUUGACGUUCUAUUUCCAGAUAACUAAUACACUACAGCUGCGCAAUUGCAGCUCUAUAGAAACAAGGGUACGUGGGGAUGUAAUUUGGCAUGGCUUAGCUCCAAAAAAAAAAGAAAAAGAAAGAGUGAGUGUGGCCACCUCCACCCUCUUAUCCAAGUAGGAAGAGACCAAAGGGUGGCGGCCAC